UACGUAGGGGGCAAGCGUUGUCCGGAAUCAUUGGGCGUAAAGCGCGUGUAGGCGGCCCGGUAAGUCCGCUGUGAAAGUCGGGGGCUCAACCUCGGAUGCCGGUGGAUACUGUCGGGCUCGGAGUACGGGAAGAGGCGAGUGGAAUUCCUGGUGGUAGCGGUGAAAUGCGCAGAUAUCAGGAGGAACACCUAUUGCGAAGGCAGCUCGCUGGGA
rnacentral:rRNA from 1 species